UGGCGACCGGCGCACGGGUGAGUAACGCGUAUGCAACCCCCCUAUCAGAAGGGAAUAACCCGGCGAAAGUCGGACUAAUACCGCAUAAAACAGGGACACCGCAUGGUGAUAUUUGUUAAAGAAAUUCGCUGAUAGAUGGGCAUGCGUUCCAUUAGGUAGUUGGUGAGGUAACGGCUCACCAAGCCGACGAUGGAUAGGGGAACUGAGAGGGUGGUCCCCCACACUGGUACUGAGACACGGACCAAACUCCUACGGGAGGCAGCAGUGAGGAAUAUUGGUCAAUGGGCGAGAGCCUGAACCAGCCAAGUCGCGUGAAGGAAGAAGGAUCUAUGGUUCGUAAACUUCUUUUGCAGGGGAAUAAAGUGCAGGACGUGUCCUGUUUUGUAUGUACCCUGAGAAUAAGGAUCGGCUAACUCCGUGCCAGCAGCCGCGGUAAUACCGAGGAUCCGAGCGUUAUCCGGAUUUAUUGGGUUUAAAGGGUGCGUAGGUGGUUUGAUAAGUCAGCGGUGAAAGUUUGCAGCUUAACUGUAAAAAUGCCGUUGAAACUGUCGGACUUGAGUGUAAAUGAAGUAGGCGGAAUGCGUGGUGUAGCGGUGAAAUGCUUAGAUAUCACGAAGAACUCCGAUUG
rnacentral:rRNA from 1 species